rnacentral:rRNA from 1 species
UACGGAGGGUGCGAGCGUUGUUCGGAAUUACUGGGCGUAAAGCGCGUGUAGGCGGCCUUCUAAGUCUGGUGUGAAAGCCCGGGGCUCAACCCCGGAAGUGCAUUGGAUACUGGGAGGCUGGAGUACCGGAGAGGAGGGUGGAAUUCCUGGUGUAGCGGUGAAAUGCGUAGAUAUCGGUCGGAACACCAGUGGCGAAGGCGGUCUCCUGGGGCAUUCUUGACGCUGAGGCGCGAAAGCUGGGGGAGCGAACGGG